UGGCGGCGUGCUUAUGCAUGCAAGUCGAACGGCCCGAUUUAUCGGGAUAGUGGCAGACGGGUGAGUACGCGUAAGUAAUCUGUCCCCAAGUAAGGGAUAACUCUGAGAAAUUGGAGCUAAUACCUUAUGUGGUGAUGGAGUUAAUGCUUCAUCAUUAAAGCUUUAGGGCGCUUGAGGAAGGGCUUGUGUCCGAUUAGCUAGUUGGUAGGGUAAUGGCUUACCAAGGCAAUGAUCGGUAGCUGGUUUGAGAGGAUGGUCAGCCACACUGGGAUUGAGAUACGGCCCAGACUCCUACGGGAGGCAGCAGCAAGGAGUAUUGUGCAAUGGGCGAAAGCCUGACACAGCGACGUCGCGUGGGGGAAGAAGGCCUUCGGGUUGUAAACCCCUUUUCUCAGGGAAGAAUAAUGACGGUACCUGAGGAAGAAGUCACGGCUAACUACGUGCCAGCAGCCGCGGUAAUACGUAGGUGGCAAGCGUUAUCCGGAUUUACUGGGUGUAAAGAGGGCGUAGGCGGCUUUUCAAGUCGAGUAUAAAAUCUCCCGGCUUAACUGGGAGGGAUUAUUCGAUACUGUUGGGCUAGAGGACAGUAGGGGGAGGUGGAAUUCCCGGUGUAGUGGUGAAAUGCGUAGAUAUCGGGAGGAACACCAGUGGCGAAGGCGGCCUCCUGGGCUGUUGCUGACGCUGAGGCCCGAAAGCGUGGGGAGCAAACAGGAUUAGAUACCCUUUUAGUCCCGCUGUAAACUAUGGACACUAGGUAUAGGGAGACGACCCUCUCUGUGCCGAAGCUAACGCUUUAAGUUCCCGCCUGGGGACUACGGCCGCAAGGCUAAAACUACAAAGAAUUGAGACGG
rnacentral:rRNA from 1 species